GUAGGGAAUCUUCGGCAAUGGACGGAAGUCUGACCGAGCAACGCCGCGUGAGUGAAGAAGGUUUUCGGAUCGUAAAGCUCUGUUGUAAGAGAAGAACGAGUGUGAGAGUGGAAAGUUCACACUGUGACGGUAUCUUACCAGAAAGGGACGGCUAACUACGUGCCAGCAGCCGCGGUAAUACGUAGGUCCCGAGCGUUGUCCGGAUUUAUUGGGCGUAAAGCGAGCGCAGGCGGUUAGAUAAGUCUGAAGUUAAAGGCUGUGGCUUAACCAUAGUACGCUUUGGAAACUGUUUAACUUGAGUGCAGAAGGGGAGAGUGGAAUUCCAUGUGUAGCGGUGAAAUGCGUAGAUAUAUGGAGGAACACCGGUGGCGAAAGCGGCUCUCUGGUCUGUAACUGACGCUGAGGCUCGAAAGCGUGGGGAGCAA
rnacentral:rRNA from 1 species